CCCAAAAAAAACAAUGGAAAACAAAAUAAACAAGUCGACACUGAACAGGCCAAAGCGACAUCCUCUUUUCCUUUUUCUUUUCUUUUUUCUUUUUCCUUUU
rnacentral:ribozyme from 1 species